UACGUAGACCACAAGCGUUAUCCGGAUUUAUUGGGCGUAAAGCGCAUGUAGGAGGUCAGGUGCGUCUCUGGUUAAAGCCCACCGCCUAACGGUGGAAGUGCCCGAGAUACGAUCUGACUGGAGGAUGUGAGAGGUGCAUAGAACGCACGGUGUAGGGGUGAAAUGCGUAGAUAUCGGGAGGAACACCAGUGGCGAAGGCGGCUACCUGGCCCACUCUUGACGCUGAGGCGCGAAAGCUAGGGGAGCAAACGGG
rnacentral:rRNA from 1 species